rnacentral:rRNA from 1 species
ACGGAAGGCAGCAGUGGGGAAUAUUGGACGAUGGGGGAAACCCUGAUCCAGCGACGCCGCGUGAGUGAAGAAGUAUUUCGGUAUGUAAAGCUCUUUAAGCAGGAAAGAAAAUGACGGUACCUGCAGAAUAAGCCCCGGCUAACUACGUGCCAGCAGCCGCGGUAAUACGUAGGGGGCAAGCGUUAUCCGGAUUUACUGGGUGUAAGGGAGCGUAGACGGCAAUGCAAGUCCGAAGUGAAAGCCCGUGGCUUAAAUGCGGGACUGCUUUGGAAACUGCAUGGCUAGGGUGUCGGAGAGGUGAGUGGAAUUCCCAGUGUAGCGGUGAAAUGCGUAGAUAUUGGGAGGAACACCGGAGGCGAAGGCGGCUCACUGGACGAUCACUGACGUUGAGGCUCGAAAGCGUGGGGAGCAAACAGGAUUAGAUACCCUGGUA